GUGCUCCCUUUGGCAGCACAUAUACUAAAAGUUGGAACAAUAUAGAGAUUAACAUGGCCCCUGCACAAGGAUGACACACAAAUUCACAAAUCACUCAAUGUGUGU